rnacentral:rRNA from 1 species
UUGGAGGGCAAGUCUGGUGCCAGCAGCCGCGGUAAUUCCAGCUCCAAUAGCGUAUAUUAAAGUUGUUGCAGUUAAAAAGCUCGUAGUUGAAUUUCGGGAUCAAUAUGUUGGUCGUGCCUUGGUACGUACUAAUUUAUUGGUUUCUUCCUUCUGACGAACCAUGAUGUCAUUAAUUUGGUGUCUUGGGGAAUCAGGACUGUUACUUUGAAAAAAUUAGAGUGUUUAAAGCAGGCUCACGCUUGAAUACAUUAGCAUGGAAUAAUGAAAUAGGACGUUUGAUUCUAUUUUGUUGGUUUCUAGGAUUGACGUAAUGAUUAAUAGGGAUAGUUGGGGGCAUUAGUAUUCAAUUGUCAGAGGUGAAAUUCUUGGAUUUAUUGAAGACUAACUACUGCGAAAGCAUUUGCCAAGGAUGUUUUCAUUAAUCAAGAACGAAAGUCAGGGGAUCGAAGACGAUCAGAUACCGUCGUAGUCUUAACCAUAAACUAUGCCGACUAGGGAUCGGAUGAUGUUAAUUUUUUAAUGACUCAUUCGGCGCCUUACGGGAAAC